ACGUUCUCUUUACUUGCUUUCUGCCUGGAUCUGCUGAUCGUGAUACGACAUGUAACCUGUACUUUGGAGAAUCAAGUCUUCCAGCUCAAAUAGUAACCAUCAGGGGGAAAACAACCCCAACCAAUCAGUGGUUCUGCCAGUUUAUUGUCACAAUCGAAGAUUUGUUGGGACAUCUAAGUUCAGUUCAACAAAGUGAUGCCAGCUGUGAUUACACUUUGAGAAGUGAACCCAACUCUUUGUCUCCUCGUAGUGAUGGAUACAGCUUGACUGAUAUUGUGGAAAAAGAGUCACAUGUGACACAGACUAUGACGACAUCUACUGUGAGUACAACGACUGAAACUCCUGCAAAACAAACUUCAGUUCUGACAGUGAGCACGCCUCAUGUUACAACUCCUGAAACUCCUGCAAAACAAACAUCAGGUAACGUGAUUACAAAUAUAGUAUAACUUUAAUUUAUCACAAAUUACAAAUGUGUUUUUUCCUAUUUUGACCAUUUUGAAAUGUGUAUUUCUACAUUCACUGAGUCUGACUGUUGGUAGAACAAGCAACACUUUAGUAGUUAGUUUUAUUUAUACUUC